GACGAACGCUGGCGGCGUGCCUAAUACAUGCAAGUUGAGCGAUGAAGCUUGGUGCUUGCACCAAUUUGAAGAGCAGCGAACGGGUGAGUAACGCGUGGGGAAUCUGCCUUUGAGCGGGGGACAACAUUUGGAAACGAAUGCUAAUACCGCAUAACAACUUUAAACAUAAGUUUUAAGUUUGAAAGAUGCAAUUGCAUCACUCAAAGAUGAUCCCGCGUUGUAUUAGCUAGUUGGUGAGGUAAAGGCUCACCAAGGCGAUGAUACAUAGCCGACCUGAGAGGGUGAUCGGCCCCAUUGGGACUGAGACACGGCCCAAACUCCUACGGGAGGCAGCAGUAGGGAAUCUUCGGCAAUGGCCGAAAGUCUGACCGAGCAACGCCGCGUGAGUGAAGAAGGUUUUCGGAUCGUAAAACUCUGUUGGUAGAGAAGAACGUUGGUGCGAGUGGAAAGCUCAUCAAGUGACGGUAACUACCCAGAAAGGGACGGCUAACUACGUG
rnacentral:rRNA from 1 species